ensembl:rRNA 5S_rRNA 5S ribosomal RNA
UACAGUCACAGCCAUAUCGCCCUGCAGCCCAAGACCGUUUACUCACUGAAGGUAAGCAAGAAUGAGCAUGGUCAGAACCUGGAUGGGAGACCACAUGGGAAAACUAGGUUGCUGCUGGAA